rnacentral:rRNA from 1 species
UGAGGAAUGUUGGGCAAUGCCCGCAAGGGUGACCCAGCAACGCCGCGUGGAGGAUGAAUGUCGUAAGAUUGUAAACUCCUGUUAGAGGGGAAGAAUAGUACCGGUUGGACCGGUAUAUGACUGUACCCUCAGAGAAAGCCCCGGCUAACUACGUGCCAGCAGCCGCGGUAAUACGUAGGGGGCAAGCGUUGUCCGGAUUUACUGGGUGUCAAGGGCGCGCAGGCGGGAUAAAAAGUCAGUGGUGAAAUCCUACAGCUUAACUGUAGAACUGCCUUUGAUACUUUUAUUCUUGAGUUCGGGAGAGAGAGACGGAAUUCCAGGUGUAGUGGUGAAAUACGUAGAUAUCUGGAAGAACACCAGUUGCGAAGGCGGUCUCUUGGUCCGACACUGACGCUGAGGCGCGAAAGCGUGGGGAGCAAACA